rnacentral:tRNA from 4 species
GGGGGUGUAGCUCAAUUGGGAGAGCGCCUGCUUUGCAAGCAGGAGGUCAUCGGUUCGAUCCCGUUCACCUCCA